rnacentral:rRNA from 1 species
UACGAAGGGGGCUAGCGUUGCUCGGAAUCACUGGGCGUAAAGGGCGCGUAGGCGGCCGAUCAAGUCGGGGGUGAAAGCCUGUGGCUUAACCACAGAAUGGCCUUCGAUACUGUUUGGCUUGAGACCGGAAGAGGUUAGUGGAACUGCGAGUGUAGAGGUGAAAUUCGUAGAUAUUCGCAAGAACACCAGUGGCGAAGGCGGCUGACUGGUCCGGUUCUGACGCUGAGGCGCGAAAGCGUGGGGAGCAAACAGG